rnacentral:rRNA from 1 species
UCCUACGGGAGGCAGCAGUAGGGAAUCUUCCGCAAUGGACGAAAGUCUGACGGAGCAACGCCGCGUGAGUGAUGAAGGCUUUCGGGUCGUAAAACUCUGUUGUUAGGGAAGAAUAAGUGCUAGUUGAAUAAGCUGGCACCUUGACGGUACCUAACCAGAAAGCCACGGCUAACUACGUGCCAGCAGCCGCGGUAAUACGUAGGUGGCAAGCGUUAUCCGGAAUUAUUGGGCGUAAAGCGCGCGCAGGUGGUUUCUUAAGUCUGAUGUGAAAGCCCACGGCUCAACCGUGGAGGGUCAUUGGAAACUGGGAGACUUGAGUGCAGAAGAGGAAAGUGGAAUUCCAUGUGUAGCGGUGAAAUGCGUAGAGAUAUGGAGGAACACCAGUGGCGAAGGCGACUUUCUGGUCUGUAACUGACACUGAGGCGCGAAAGCGUGGGGAGCAAACAGGAUUAGAUACCCUGGUAGUCCACACCGUAAACGAUGAAUGCCAGUCGUCGGAUAGUAUACUAUUCGGUGACACACCUAACGGAUUAAGCAUUCCGCCUGGGGAGUACGGUCGCAAGAUUAAAACUCA